GCGAAGCCACCACCGGACCAUGGUUCCGGUUAAAACUCCAGCGCCACAUGAAACCUCAAAUAACAACACCAUCACCCAAAUCUGAUCAUGCAACAUAGAUAAGCAAGAACUACACCAUGAGACCAGAUCGGAAAUACAAACAUCAAUACAAACCCACCGAAUCUGAACAUAAGCAAAGAUAAUCAAUAAAACAAAAUGCUAGAUCUGGAACGAAACCCACCGAAUCUGAACAUAAGCAAAGACGAACCAUCCAGAUCUGGAACGAAACCCAGAUCCAAACCCACCAUUAAAACAUUUGAGAUCUCUCUCUCCCUCCUCCCUGAAUGACCCCCCCACCCUCUGACUCCACCCUCUGUUCUCUAAAGACGCCGCCAAACCUCUGUUCUCUCCCUCCUCCCUGAAUGACGCCGCCGGCUAGCUCGAGGCUUCCUAGCCGCCCGAGGAAGAGGACGGAGACCACGGCUCGUGAAAUCAGAGAGAAAAGGAGAGAGAAGAUAUCAGAGAGAAAAGGACGUCUGAGAGAGAAGAAGUGAAAUCAAAUCUUUCAUUCUUAGUCUGAAGGCAGGAACCAAGAUCAGUUGUAACAUAUUUUUGGGUUUUAUGGUGGAGAUAAUUUUAGUGAAUUGGGAGACAAAAAUUAAAGAGAAUAAUCUGUGCUCAAAAAGAAAGAAAAAGAAAUCCCAUUUACAGGAAUUGUUAGAUAGGAAAUUAUUAUUGUGAAAUUAUUAUUAUUUUUAUUAAUUAAAAAUUAUUAUUGUUGUUAUUAUUAUUAUUUUGAAAUUAUUAUUAUUAUUAAAAAUUAUUAUUA
rnacentral:lncRNA from 1 species